rnacentral:lncRNA from 1 species
UCUCAUGAAGGCUUGUGCCAAGUCUUUCCAUAAGCAAAUUUGGGCACGACCCUGCUGGUUAUACCAUUUGGCCGCAGCUCCGAUCAAACUAUCCUGGAAACAGUGAAUUAACAAUUGAUCAUUGUCAAUAUAUCCCGUCAUCCUCCGACAGAACAUAAUGAUAUGGGCUUCAGGACAGCUAGUCCCGUUAUACUUUUCAAAUUCUAGCAUUUUAAACUUAGGCGGGAGAACUAAGUCAGGG